CCUACGGGUGGCAGCAGUGGGGGAUAUUGCACAAUGGGGGAAACCCUGAUGCAGCGACGCCGCGUGUGGGAAGACGGUCCUCUGGAUUGUAAACCACUGUCCCCAGGGACGAAGAUGAUGGUACCUGGGGAGGAAGCUCCGGCUAACUCCGUGCCAGCAGCCGCGGUAAUACGGAGGAUGCGAGCGUUAUCCGGAUUUAUUGGGUUUAAAGGGUGCGUAGGCGGACGCUUAAGUCAGCGGUAAAAUUGCGGGGCUCAACCUCGUCGAGCCGUUGAAACUGGGUGCCUUGAGUGGGCGAGAAGUACGCGGAAUGCGUGGUGUAGCGGUGAAAUGCAUAGAUAUCACGCAGAACUCCGAUUGCGAAGGCAGCGUACCGGCGCCCAACUGACGCUGAAGCACGAAGGCGUGGGUAUCGAACAGGAUUAGAUACCCCUGUAGUC
rnacentral:rRNA from 1 species